UCCAAAACAAGAAAAAAUGGUUCAAUUUUGCUCUUGAACUAUUCAAAUUGUCCAAUUUUGAGUAAUUAAAGGUCAAGAUUGAGCCAUUUUUCUUUGUUUUGGAGC